rnacentral:rRNA from 1 species
ACGUAGGAAGCGAGCGUUAUCCGGAUUUACUGGGCGUAAAGCGUGUGUAGGCGGUUUGACAAGUUGGAUGUGAAAGCUCCUGGCUUAACUGGGAGAGGUCGUUCAAAACUGUCAGACUCGAGAGUGGUAGAGGGAGGUGGAAUUCCGGGUGUAGUGGUGAAAUGCGUAGAUAUCCGGAGGAACACCAGUGGCGAAAGCGGCCUCCUGGCCCAUUUCUGACGCUCAGACACGAAAGCUAAGGUAGCAAACGGGAUUAGAGACCCCGGUAGUCUUAGCUGUAAACGAUGUGAACUUAGUGUCGGUGGGUUUAAAUCCAUCGGUACUGAAGCUAACGCGAUAAGUUCACCGCCUGGGGACUACGGCCGCAAGGUUA